GAUGAACGCUGGCGGCGUGCUUAACACAUGCAAGUCGAACGGAGUUAUGAUGAAGCCUAGCGAAUCAUAACUUAGUGGCGGACGGGUGAGUAACGCGUGGGUAACCUGCCUCAUACAGGGGGAUAACAGUUAGAAAUGACUGCUAAUACCGCAUAAGCGCACAGGACCGCAUGGUCUAGUGUGAAAAACUCCGGUGGUAUGAGAUGGACCCGCGUCUGAUUAGCUAGUUGGUGGGGUAACGGCCUACCAAGGCGACGAUCAGUAGCCGGCCUGAGAGGGUGAACGGCCACAUUGGGACUGAGACACGGCCCAAACUCCUACGGGAGGCAGCAGUGGGGAAUAUUGCACAAUGGGGGAAACCCUGAUGCAGCGACGCCGCGUGAGUGAAGAAGUAUUUCGGUAUGUAAAGCUCUAUCAGCAGGGAAGAAAAUGACGGUACCUGACUAAGAAGCACCGGCUAAAUACGUG
rnacentral:rRNA from 1 species